UUUUCUUCGUGGUAGAGCUUAAUAAAAAAAAUCCUUCCCAACUCUUAAAUUUAAAUUCUAUGAAAUGUCUAAUAGGAAUCUUUAAAUAUCUAAUUUCUUCGAAUACGUUUGCUUAACCAGACCUUAUAAAAAGGGUAGUUGAUUAAGAAUUAACCAUAGAUUCAUUUCAAAACUUCUAAAUCUUUAAUUAAAAAGUUAAUGUUUUAUUUCCUUCAAAAAUUAAUUAGGAAUUUUUAAUAUUCAGAAAUUUACUAAUUGCAUUUCCAUGACCUAUUUCUAUACAAUUUUUUCGAAAUGUUCUGAAGUCAUUCGCACUUUCUGGUCUUUCUUUUACUCUCGGAGAGAAUUUCCCUCUACUGCCUAUAAUGUAAGUUUUAAUCCAGUCAGCCUCAAUGUUUUGCUAUUCCAUGCAAUUGAAUCAUCCUAUUCAUCAUUCUUAUAGUUGAAGUAACAAUUCAUCCGUUAUCUCACAGAGUCUGGCUCUAUUCUAUCUCAAUCUGCCAUAAAAAAAUGUACAAAUAUUUAAGAUGCGACUAUCUUUUUAAUAAAAUAGUUCAGCCUACUUGAUGAAAUAUUUCGCUAGUUUUGAACUUAUUUUGUUUUUAUUUUUCAUGUUGCAAGUAAACAAAAAAAUUUAAAUGCAAAUUUAUUUUUAAUAUGAACAUAUUUAAAUUGCAAUUGAAUGAUCUGGAGAAAUCGGCAAAAAUAGAGCUAGGAUUGAAUUUUAAGAAAUGUGUUGGAUGAAGCAUUCGGGAUAAAUUAAGUGUUUCAAAAUGAAAUUAUUCAUUUCAAUUGAACGAUUUGAACAAUUUUGAAUCAAUCUUUAUAGUUUUCUAUUUAGAUAUGCUAAACGCAUUAUGAGAAGGAAUAGAUAUGCUAAAAAAACUUGAGGAAAAUAUUGUUGUCUUGAAUAUAUUUUAUUUAAGAGUAAACUUGUUCAUAACAAACUGAGUGAAUAAGUUAUAAAAUUUUGUAUUUUUUUAACUUAUUAACGAUAGAAACAGUCGCCUUAAAAAUGAGCAGACGAUUUCAUAAGAAUAAAUUCGGCUUAAAAACUAUAGUUCAAAAAUUCUAACCGAAAUUGAUUUCGUAAGAUUCGCCACCAUAGCUUGAAUAGAUGCCGUAUUGGAAAGAUUAACGUAAUUUCUUGAAUCGUUUCCAAGUUUUCAGAAUUCCGUAGAAAUCUAUACUUUUGAUAUGCUGAUUGAGUACGGAAGAAGUGUUCGUAAUGUCUGGAUAUUUAGCAGAAGCGGCCUUUUAGCGGUGACAUUGCCACAAUUACAUAGGCGAUACUUGGUAUUGUCUGCUGCAACAGAGAGCAUCAUUACGACUUUUCUGUUUAGUAGUAGCUGGUACAAGCAAAAGGUGAAUUAGGCGAGUAAAUAUAACAAACUUGGAGUUACCUUAAACUUAAAAUGUUUCACUUAUACCGGAAGGUUUCUGUCGAAUUAUGUGAAUUUAUUGUCGAAUACAUUAGAUGCUAAUAAUAGGAACAAUGACACAUCCCUCAAUCUUAGUCUAUGGAAUGACUGCUGUUUCGGUUUGUCACAAAUUCUCUCUACUUGCAAUUGGACGAUUAGGAAACUUUCUCAGAAUGCUAUAGAAGAUAACGGUAAGUUAAACGAAUUUUGACAAUUAUCAUGCCAGAUUAUAGAAUAUAAGCAUUCAAUCUGAUAAUUAAAUUGCAACAUUACUAAUGUGCACAUUAAGUAUGCAUAGGUUAGAAAAUUGACGACCUAUAGUAAUGACCUUUUUGCUGAAUACCAAUCGCCAUGAAAAAGGGUUCCUUGGUCCCCCCCCCCAUGAACUGAACCGACAUCAAGUAUAUUGGAUGCUGAGAAAUACUCACUACAGAUGAUCAACAUAUUGAAAUACAAGUAUAGUAGGCUUCUUAAUUAUAAUACUAAAAUUUCAAAAAACGACAUUCUCUAAUCGUUCUAUUUUUCUAGAAAGCAGGUUCCCAUAAGCUAAUAAAGUUGCAAAUCACAAUUACCUGGAAACGUCUAUCAAAACGGAUGUAACAUUUCCAGCUACUUCUCAACGUAAAUAUCUGAAAUUUAAUCUCUUGCCAUUCUGAGAUCAACUUCUGCAAAUGCAAGAAUAAAAUAAAUGAAUCGCCUGAAAAUGGAGCCAGCAUGCAAAGGCCUUCUGAAUGUCUUCACCAGGAAAAUGUUGCCUACCUUGGAUGGAACCAUUUGAAGUGCUAAAAGAGGACAAGAAAUUUUUCCAGGAAGCAAACCAUUACUACUUGAAACUAUCUAUCAAAACAGAAGCAGAAUUUACAAUUAUUUAUCAACGUAAUAAGACUUGGUUAGUGUUACUGAUAUCCUUCAGAAUAAUUGAGGUUGGAUUAGAUUUUGAUGCAUAGUAACCUUUUGUUCAAUAAAGGGUCCCCAUUUACACUAAAAGUGAGAUUGCUGUCUCCGUUACCACACUUAUUAUGAACCGACAUCUAUUGCGAUGUAUGUUGUGAAAUGCUCACUGCAGAUGACAUUGAAAUGUUGGAAAAUCAAGUAUCCUUUCGUUUCUUAUUUAUAAUAUUGAAAUCACAAAAAUGACAUUCUCUAACCAUUUUAUUUGAUUUUCCAGAAAACAUUGAACUGCAAGGAGGCAAACCAUAAUUACUCGUCAACAUCUAUUAAAACGGAUGCAUAAUUUCUAGCUAUUUCUGAAAAUAGAAAAGCAGAGGAACUGAAGCGCGUGCCAUCCCGAGAUCAUCUUUCGUGAGUAGAGGGACCGAACAAAUCAAUCGCCAGAGCAUGGAAUCAACAUGCGACAGCCUUUUGCAUGUCUCCUCGUCACAAGUAAAAUGUUGCCAGGCCAGAAACCUUUUUAAUGUGCAGAAAUAGAACAAGAAAUAUUUCCAGCGACUACUUCAGUUUCUGACAAAUUCUCUACCAGCAAUCUGGGUGAUCGAGAAAUUUAUUUUCUCGGAAUGGUAUCGUAGAGAUAACGAAAGCAAGUUUUCUGAAGCCAUGCGGAGGCAAACUACAUAUAAUUUAUGUGGAAGCUUCUAUUAAGACAGAAGCGGGCUUUCCAGCUAUUUCUCAACAGAAGAAAGUUACCUGAAUGAUUCUGAAGCGAUAUCGGCAUGUUGCAAGAAUUUCGGUUUUGAUCUAUAGUCAUGAUCUUUUGCUGACUACAGGUUUAUCACUUAUCACCAGAAGAUACUGCUUUCUUGGCUCCACACAUGCUCUGAUCUGACAUCAACUAAGCUGGAUGCUAUGAAAUACUCACUACUGAUGACAAGGCAAAUUUCCAGUAAGCUGCAAGGAGACAAACCACAAUCAUCUGUAAAUAUCCAGCAAAACAGAAGCAGCAUAUCCAGUUAUUUCUCAAUAUGGGAAUCGUCGAAUUUGAAACGCUUGCCAUUCCGAGAUCAACUUCUGCAACUAUAGUGUCUGUAGAAAUCGGUCUAUUGAGAAUGAAUCUACCAUGUGACAGCCUUCUGCAAGUCCUCCUCACCACUAAAAUGUUGCUCUGCUAUAAGCCGCUUCACGUACAGUAACAGAA